GGUGGUAAUGCCGGAUGCUCCGACUCCUCGCAUGGGGUGUCGGGAAAGAUUUCAUCGGUAUGGGAUGGGGUCGCGUCCUAUCAGGUAGUCGGCGGGGUAACGGCCCACCGAGCCUACGACGGGUAGCCGGCCUGAGAGGGCGACCGGCCACAUUGGGACUGAGAUACGGCCCAGACUCCUACGGGAGGCAGCAGUGGGGAAUAUUGCACAAUGGGCGCAAGCCUGAUGCAGCGACGCCGCGUGCGGGAUGACGGCCUUCGGGUUGUAAACCGCUUUUGAUCGGGAGCAAGCCUUCGGGUGAGUGUACCUUUCGAAUAAGCACCGGCUAACUACGUGCCAGCAGCCGCGGUAAUACGUAGGGUGCAAGCGUUAUCCGGAAUUAUUGGGCGUAAAGGGCUCGUAGGCGGUUCGUCGCGUCCGGUGUGAAAGUCCAUCGCUUAACGGUGGAUCUGCGCCGGGUACGGGCGGGCUGGAGUGCGGUAGGGGAGACUGGAAUUCCCGGUGUAACGGUGGAAUGUGUAG
rnacentral:rRNA from 1 species